CCAGACUCCUACGGGAGGCAGCAGUGGGGAAUAUUGCACAAUGGGGGAAACCCUGAUGCAGCAACGCCGCGUGAAGGAAGACGGUUUUCGGAUUGUAAACUUCUAUCAAUAGGGAAGAAAGAAAUGACGGUACCUAAAUAAGAAGCCCCGGCUAACUACGUGCCAGCAGCCGCGGUAAUACGUAGGGGGCAAGCGUUGUCCGGAAUCAUUGGGCGUAAAGAGUUCGUAGGCGGCACGUAAAGUCUGGUGUUAAAGGCAGAGGCUCAACUUCUGUACGGCACUGGAUACUUGCGAGCUAGAAUGCGGUAGAGGUAAAGGGAAUUCCUGGUGUAGCGGUGAAAUGCUUAGAUAUCAGGAGGAACAUCGGUGGCGUAAGCGCUUUACUGGGCCGUAAUUGACGCUGAGGAACGAAAGCCAGGGUAGCAAAUGGGAUUAGAUACCCCAGUAA
rnacentral:rRNA from 1 species